rnacentral:lncRNA from 1 species
GGUUUCUUUGGAAAUAAAGUCAUUAUUGUUCUGUUUCCACCAAAGGAGUUUAUUUACUAAAUAUUAUAAACAAUUAAUAAAUUAUUUUUAUAGUGUAUUGAUUUUAAGGAUAAGCUAGAUGAUUCUUGGAAUUGUCUAACAUCUGGAGAUAGAUUGGGAUGUAUUAUUAUCUACACUGGAAAUAUUGAAAAAAUGUCGAAAACCAAUAAGGUUUCGCCAGAGA